AACGAACGCUGGCGGCAGGCCUAACACAUGCAAGUCGAGCGCCCUUUCGGGGGCGCGGCGGACGGGUGAGUAACGCGUGGGAAUAUGCCCUUCUCUACGUAAUAGCCUCUGGAAACUGAGAGUAAUACCGUAUACGCCCUGUGGGGGAAAGAUUUAUCGGGGAAGGAUUAGCCCGCGUUGGAUUAGGUAGUUGGUGGGGUAAUGGCCUACCAAGCCGACGAUCCAUAGCUGGGUUGAGAGGAUGAUCAGCCACACUGGGACUGAGACACGGCCGAGACUCUUACGGGAGGCAGCAGUGGGGAAUCUUAGACAACGGGGGCAACCCUGAUCUCGCCAGGCCGGGUGAGUGAUGAAGGUCGUAGGGUUGUAAAGCUCUUUCAGCUGGGAAGAUAAUGACGGUACCAGCAGAAGAAGCCCCGGCUAACUCCGUG
rnacentral:rRNA from 1 species